rfam:Camelus ferus unplaced genomic scaffold scaffold1111, whole genome shotgun sequence.
GAGGGUAGCGCUCAGUGGUAGAGUGUGUGUUUAGCAUGCACAAGGUCCUGGGUUUGAUCCCCAAUACCUCCA